GUGGUUUACGAUUUAUGACUUAUGAAAAAAAACUACUUACUAGAUCUCGUUCAAACCAAUUUUCGGUGGAAGUUUGCAUGGUAAUGUACAUCAUAUAUAUUUUUCUGUUUCAUCUUUCUCUUAGUUUAGAAGUUACAGGGGGGGGGCACAUUUUACCACUUUUUAAGUGUCUCUUGCGCAAACUAUUCGAUUAGAAAAAAAAUUAUAUUAGAAACCUCAAUAUCAUUUUUGAAGACCUAUCCAUAGAUACCCCACACGUAUGGGUUUGACGAA